GUGCUAACUUCCACAGCACAAAGACUAAAGCUAGAAUGAUCUGGAGGAGAUUAGCACAGCCCUUGUGGAAGGGUGACAUCCAAAUCCACAAGGUGCUCCGUAUUUCU